rnacentral:rRNA from 1 species
GAUGAACGCUAGCUACAGGCUUAACACAUGCAAGUCGAGGGGCAGCACUAGGUAGCAAUACUGAGGUGGCGACCGGCGCGACGGGUGCGUAACGCGUAUCCAACCUUCCCGUUACUCUUGGAUAGCCUUCCGAAAGGGAGAUUAAUACAAGAUGGUAUUCAAAUUCCGCAUGUUAUUUGAAUUAAAGAUUUAUCGGUAACGGAUGGGGAUGCGUGACAUUAGGUAGAUGGCGGGGUAACGGCCCACCAUGCCUACGAUGUCUAGGGGUUCUGAGAGGAAGGUCCCCCACACUGGAACUGAGACACGGUCCAGACUCCUACGGGAGGCAGCAGUGAGGAAUAUUGGUCAAUGGUCGGAAGACUGAACCAGCCAAGUAGCGUGAAGGAUGAAGGUUCUAUGGAUUGUAAACUUCUUUUAUACGGGAACAAAUGUUGGUACGCGUACCGAUUUGCGUGUACCGUAUGAAUAAGCAUCGGCUAACUCCGUG